CCAUUAACUGGUUCAAAGACUCAUGGCUCUGCCUGUGCCCUAGUCAUUGGUAGUGCAGGGAGAGGAUGCUGAAAGCCUUUCCCUGUGUUUGGAUGAUUUACUCCUGUCCUUGCCAAACUCUGGUGUUUUCGAACA